GACAGAGCCAGCCGGGGGCAUCUUUAGUUCUGCUCAGUCCCAGCAAUCAGGCCCAGUGUGGCUCUUCCUCCUCGGAGCUCCACGAGGGCCACUGCUCUGGGAGAGCCGGGGUUUCCACAGGGAGCACUUAGCCAAGCGCCCUCCUCACACAGACCAGGAUGACAGUGCUGGGUUCCCAGGUUGCCCUUGGAGACACCUGGGCGUGCUCCCUGUCAGACUGGGCCAGUUCCCCUGAGCAGCUGGCACCCACGCGGGAGUCAGGAUUGGGCCGUGGUCCCCUGGCCCUUUGCUGAUUGUCCUCUGAGUGGGUAGCUUAGGGCAGGGGAAUGACAGUCUGGGGACAUUUCACUUUCAGACCUAUUUGUGGAUUUGCUCACAUCAGCUUUUUCACAGGAAAGCCCUGGCACAUCUGGCCAGUUUGUGUCCACCUCAGCGCCCACCAUCCCCCCUUGGCCCUCAGUCCCUAAAUGCAACAGGCUUUCACCUCUGCCCCCCUCCCUCUGCCUUUCCCACUGCCAGCCCCCCCCCCCCCACCUCCUCAGGGUGCUAUGUGCCAGGGACACAGACUCCAGAAUCCCUCAGGCCAAGGCAGGAGUUCUGCUGCUGCCUCCAAGCUCUGCGACCUUGACCACGAAUGGAGCCUCUGGCCCCCAUCUUUGCAAUGGUGAUAACCUGGCAAAGUCCUGCGGAGAAAAUGAAACACUGUACAAAAACCCAGAACAGGCUCAAUCCCUCCCCACCCCACUGCUGGCCAUUGUUUCUGCCUUGGCAGCAGGUGGAGUGACCCCGCUUUGGCCUGUUUUCCCUGCUGUGCGGUCAGUCACACACCAGGGGAUCGUGACCCUCUGCUCAUCUGGCUGCCCCAGGUGCACCGUGACUCUCCCAAGGGCAGGGCCUCGUCUUUCAUCUCAGGAUCUGCAGCGGCCAGCACAGGCCUGCACUUAGUAAAUGUAUCUGGGAAAAGCACAGGCAGGCGGGAAGGUCGGGGCUGAUGUGGCAUCUUUUCCCCUUGCUGAGUGCAGAGCGAGGCCAGCCCUGUGAGACAAAGCAGCUUAUCUAAGGCCACCGGGUGUUGGGCUUGCAAGGAGCUGUCUCUGGGCUCUCACGAGGACCUCCCAGCGCAUGCCAGCCCCUCAUGCUUGCACUGCACUCGAUAUUUCAAAGCACUGUGUCAUCUGAAGCUAACUUCGAGGGGCUGUGGCAGCAGGGGCACUAACCUCAUUUCCCUGGUGGGGGAAACUGAGGCCCAACACCGUGACCAUAAUUCUCUGCUAAGCCCUGUAUCCCGGCCCUGUUCAUCAGCCCGGUCUGAUGAGAAUGGCCCCACUGAAGAGCCACACUCUGGUGGGGACCCUUCGAGACUUAGCAGCUAUUCCUUAAUUCCUGUAUUCAUUUCACAAAAUGUUUCAGGUGCCUGCCCUGUGACCCAGUGGGAUGCAGCAGCGAGCAGUUUCUACAGCUUCCCCCGCGCUGGCCCAUCUCAGUGCAGAAACGGGGUCAUUGCUGUCACAAGUUAGGGGUGUGAAUCCACUUCUUCUGAUCGUGGCUGGUCCAGUAAGGGUAAAGAAUUAACUAAUGUUAACGAGGCGAUCCUCAGUCCUGCUCUCACCUGGUUUUGUUGUAAAUUCGGAGAUAGUGUGCUAUGGAUGAAAGAUGCGUUUACUGGGACAGGAAUGGACAUUUGUGAAAUUUCAAUCCUAAUUUCACUGUGGAUUGCCUUUCAUUCUUUCAUUGACUGGUGCAGAGUAGCAAACACAUGCUUCUGUACGUCAUUCAGGGCCAGGCCCUGGAGUUACCCUGUGAACAGUGUGGGGCUCUUGCCUUGCAGGGGCUGUCAGUCUAGCAAUGCAGGAGACAGCACAACAUGGGGACACAAGACACCACAGGAGUGUGGUGCUCCCUGCGUGAAACCUUCAGUGGCUUCUUGUUUCUCGGGAAAAAUCCACGUGCUUUACCACACCCUUCAAGGCUCUGGUUGACCGGCCUCAGCUUAUCUCUCUGGCCUCAUCUUACCACUUGUUGGGCUCCGCACCAGCUUCCUUCUGUUCCUCACUCUCCCAGACCAUUGCUGCCACAGGAGAAGUCAUCGAUUUGUAGGUGGAGCAGACACCUUCAUGGAAAGAGGUCACUCAGAGAGCCUGGGCCCACCCAUACACAAACCACCUGCUCCUCUCUCGGCGACUGCUAGGUCCUGGCAUGUGCUAGGCCCUGCGACCCCUGUCCCCAAGGACCGAUUACUCUUCUAUACAAAGGGCACAAACAUGGAACACUGAACAACCCUGAGAGAGCCAGAGGGAACCAGAGGUCACUGGGCUGAAAGCGAUUGAGAGUUAGCCAGAAACUAGAAGAAGCAGUGGAUAUAAGCUGUAGGGUAAAGGUUGGGGGUCAGCUAGGUGAUCUGGGGAGAAGGCUGUACUAUUGGCUGUAACAGAACUCUAAACUAGACCAACACUGAGGCGGCCCACACUAUGUUUCAGCGUAAGCCAAAGAAAGACCACCUGGAUUCGAACCCCAGCUCUGUCUUUUAACCAGCUGUGUGUGAGGCCCAAUGACUCAGCCUCCCUGAGACUAGAUUUUCUCAUCUGCAAAGUGGGCAUAAUAACGCCUGCUCCACAGGACAGAGGUGAGAUGGUAGAGAUACGGGGCCUGGUACGUUUUGUAAAUGAUCAGCCUGUGAGCACUGUCCCCUGCCGUCUCCCCCCAGCCUCCCCACCCUCAUGUUGUUGCUGGAGAGAAGGAUGCUUGACAGAGCACGGGGCCACCCUCAGAUCUUAGAGUCAGGCAGGGUAUAACUAAAGGGGAACUGGGGUGCCUGGCUGGCUCAGUCAGAGAAGCCUGCGACUCUUGAUCUCAGGGUCAUGAGUUCAAGCCUGACGUUGGGUGUGGAGAUUACUUAAAUAGAUAAAACUUAAAAAAUAAAUAAAUAAAAAAUAAAGGCGAACUUAUAGAAUUCAAAUAAACAACCCAGGUGACUGGCACCUGAGUCACUUCACCCUGGGCCCAGUUCUGCUUUAUAGAUUAAGGGGGCUGGUGGGUCAGGGGUCUCCAAAUGCAGCAGUGCUGGGGAAAUGCAGGCAGGUCCCCAGGCCUCCACCCAGACCCACCAAAUCAGAGUCCUUGAGGGUGGGCCCCGGAACCAAAUUGUUUAAAAGCUCCCCAGAUAAUUCCAGGGUGCAGCUAGGUCUCAGAACUAUCAGCCAGGUGCCCCCUGAAAAGCCUUUUCAGCCGUUAGAGUCUGGGUUUCUAUUCGUGUCAAAUGCCCUGCGCCGCCGUGGGGGUCUUCUGUCUGGCCCCGAGCUCAUCUGCUGUCCUCAGAGAUAGGGCAGUUCCUCUGGUGCUGCUCACUCCACAAAACCACGAUUCAGGACCACUGAGUGUGGAAAUAAAUCUUGAGGGGCUCCUGGG